GUGAAUCAUCGAAUCUUUGAACGCAAAUUGCGCUUCCGAGCAUCCCGGGAAGUAUGCCUGUUUGAGGGUCAGUAUUAACAAAAAAAUCGGUUUGGUUGCAAAUUGUGACGUUUCCGGAGGUUGGACUAUCGUAACUUUUUUGGUGAAGUGGCUUAAAAUUGACCUUGUUUGCGCAUUUUUAAGCGUACAUAUAUUUUUUUUUUUUAUUCGUCUAUUCGUAAUGCGAAAAUCUUGUUAGAGGCUAUCACAGCUU
rnacentral:misc_RNA from 1 species